rnacentral:tRNA from 10 species
GGGCAGUUAGCUCAGCGGUAGAGCAUUGCCUUCACACGGCAAGGGUCGCAGGUUCGAUCCCUGCACUGCCCACCA